GGUGUGCGAUCUCAUGAAGCAAAGAGCUAGUGCAUACUCUUCUGAGGCAGGAUGCUCGACUUGGCCGUGUUAUAAGCCCAUGAAUGCGAUGAACGUGUCGAAGUCAUAGAUGCAUAGGCUAGCAGACAAGCAUUCAAUUCAAUAGAGCUCGACCAGGAAAGCGACACUAGAUAGAUGAGCUUCUGGUUGAGAAUUUGGAGCUGUCACCAACAAUGCAGUCAACAUCCAAUUGUGCCUCUUAAAGA